UCUCUGCUGCAAUUAUCCCUAAAUUAAAAUGACUUGGUCAAAGUAAUACUGAGUGCAAAGUUACUUGGCCAUCAAUGAAAUUUCUGACUUCUGAUUCCAUUACACCAAGUGUGUUCACAUUAAGUGCAGGAUUAGCAUGCAGAGUUUGGAACUAAAAAAUUAGGUGAAAUAAAGGGACAUCGAUAUAAAAUUUUUGAUUUUAAGAAACAUGUUUAAUAAAAUACUUUACAUGAGAAUCAAAUAAAUUUUAAAUGUCGAGGGUAGUACUAUGAACUAAAAUCUCCUGUAUUCAUGCAAUGCUACAAAAGCUACAACAUAGUAAUAUGAUUUUUCAACUGCUUCAUUCAGUCUCCACUUUCAGACAUCUUAGAAAUAAUUUAUAGCUUCCUUCCCGUGCAUUUGUCCUAAUGUUGUUGACUCCUUCCCUCGUUUGCAACCAUCUUCGAACGUAGCCCUGCACGACCAAAUAUUCUAGUACGCAACGUGGGAUCAUAAGCUUGUCACCAAAAACCGAUAGUGAAAUUUGACGUCAUAUAGCUAGUAGCAAAAUUCUUUAUAC
rnacentral:lncRNA from 1 species